rnacentral:rRNA from 1 species
AUUGAACGCUGGCGGCAGGCUUAACACAUGCAAGUCGAGCGGGGUGAUGGUGCUUGCACUAUCACUUAGCGGCGGACGGGUGAGUAAUGCUUAGGAAUCUGCCUAUUAGUGGGGGACAACAUCUCGAAAGGGAUGCUAAUACCGCAUACGUCCUACGGGAGAAAGCAGGGGAUCACUUGUGACCUUGCGCUAAUAGAUGAGCCUAAGUCGGAUUAGCUAGUUGGUGGGGUAAAGGCCUACCAAGGCGACGAUCUGUAGCGGGUCUGAGAGGAUGAUACGGCGCACUGGGACUGCGGCACGGCCCAGACUCCUACGGGAGGCAGCAGUGGGGAAUAUUGGACAAUGGGGGGAACCAUGAUCCAGCCAUGCCGCGUGUGUGAAGAAGGCCUUAUGGUUGUAAAGCACUUUAAGCGAGGAGGAGGCUCUUUUGGUUAAUACCCAAGAUGAGUGGACGUUACUCGCAGAAUAAGCACCGGCUAACUCUGUGCCAGCCGCCGCCGUAA